rnacentral:lncRNA from 1 species
ACAGAUCUGGUAGUGUAGUAGCAUGGUCGAAAAUGAAAAUAUAAGUAAUUGACUUUUGCUGUCGUAGAAGAAUCAGCCGAUGGAUACAUUUUUAUUUUUGAUUUGAUUAGACAUUUUGUAGUGGUGAAAUAUUGGAAUUCAAGAAAGUAAUACCCGCGCAAUGCAUUGGCCUCAAAAUUGUAAUUCUGCAUUGGAGCUCAGGAAAAGUAUUUUCAAAAUACCUCAUU